rnacentral:rRNA from 1 species
GACGUAGGGUGCGAGCGUUGUCCGGAUUUAUUGGGCGUAAAGAGCUCGUAGGCGGCUCAGCAAGUCGGUCGUGAAAACCCGGGGCUCAACCCCGGGAGGCCGGUCGAUACUGCUGUGGCUAGGGUCCGGUAGAGGAGAGUGGAAUUCCCGGUGUAGCGGUGGAAUGCGCAGAUAUCGGGAGGAACACCAGUAGCGAAGGCGGCUCUCUGGGCCGGUACCGACGCUGAGGAGCGAAAGCUAGGGGAGCAAACAGG